UGUUGGAAUCAGCGGAUGAGUUGUGGUUAGGGGUGAAAUGCCACUCGAACCCAGAGCUAGCUGGUUCUCCCCGAAAUGCGUUGAGCCGCAGCAGUUGACUGGACAUCUAGGGGUAAAGCACUGUUUCGGUGCGGGCUGCGCGAGCGGUACCAAAUCGAGGCAAACUCUGAAUACUAGAUAUGACCCAAAAAUAACAGGGGUCAAGGUCGGCCAGUGAGACGAUGGGGGAUAAGCUUCAUCGUC
rnacentral:ncRNA from 1 species